UAGAGUUUGAUCCUGGCUCAGGAUGAACGCUAGCUACAGGCUUAACACAUGCAAGUCGAGGGGCAUCAUGGGGUAGCAAUACUCCGAUGGCGACCGGCGAAUGGGUGAGUAACACGUAUCCAACCUGCCCCGUACUCAGGGAUAGCCCUUAGAAAUGAGGAUUAAUACCUGAUUGCGUCCGGAGGCUGCAUGGCCUCCGUACUAAAGAUUCAUCGGUACGGGAUGGGGAUGCGUCUGAUUAGGUAGUAGGCGGGGUAACGGCCCACCUAGCCUACGAUCAGUAGGGGUUCUGAGAGGAAGGUCCCCCACAUUGGUACUGAGACACGGACCAAACUCCUACGGGAGGCAGCAGUGAGGAAUAUUGGUCAAUGGGCGCAAGCCUGAACCAGCCAAGUAGCGUGAAGGAUGACGGCCCUAUGGGUUGUAAACUUCUUUUUCCGGGGGAUAAAGUGAGCCACGUGUGGCUUAUUGCAGGUACCCGGUGAAUAAGGACCGGCUAAUUCCGUGCCAGCAGCCGCGGUAAUACGGAAGGUCCGAGCGUUAUCCGGAUUUAUUGGGUUUAAAGGGAGCGUAGGUGGAAAGGUAAGUCAGCCGUCAAAUCGCGGAGCUCAACUCCGUUCAGCGGUUGAUACUGUUUUUCUUGAGUGCGCAAGAGGCAGGUGGAAUUCGAGGUGUAGCGGUGAAAUGCUUAGAUAUCUCGAAGAACUCCGAUUGCGAAGGCAGCUUGCUGGGGUGCAACUGACACUGAGGCUCGAAGGUGCGGGUAUCAAACAGGAUUAGAUACCCUGGUAGUCCGCACAGUAAACUAUGG
rnacentral:rRNA from 1 species